CCUACGGGAGGCAGCAGUAGGGAAUCUUCCACAAUGGGCGAAAGCCUGAUGGAGCAACGCCGCGUGGGUGAAGAAGGUCUUCGGAUCGUAAAACCCUGUUGUUGGAGAAGAAAGUGCGUGAGAGUAACUGUUCACGUUUCGACGGUAUCUAACCAGACAGCCACGGCUAACUACGUGCCAGCAGCCGCGGUAAUACGUAGGUGGCAAGCGUUAUCCGGAUUUAUUGGGCGUAAAGGGAACGCAGGCGGGCUUGUAAGUCUGAUGUGAAAGCCUUCGGCUUAACCGGAGUAGUGCAUUGGAAACUGGGAGACGUGAGUGCAGAAGAGGAGAGUGGAACUCCAUGUGUAGCGGUGAAAUGCGUAGAUAUAUGGAAGAACACCAGUGGCGAAAGCGGCUCUCUGGUCUGUAACUGACGCUGAGGUUCGAAAGCGUGGGUAGCAAACAGGAUUAGAUACCCGUGUAGUC
rnacentral:rRNA from 1 species